UACAGAGGGUGCGAGCGUUGUUCGGAAUUAUUGGGCGUAAAGCGCUUGUAGGCGGCACGUCAAGUCGCGUGUGAAAUCCCCAGGCUUAACCUGGGAAGUGCGCGCGAAACUGACGAGCUUGAGUACCGGAGAGGAUGGCGGAAUUCCCCAAGUAGAGGUGAAAUUCGUAGAUAUGGGGAGGAACACCGGUGGCGAAGGCGGCCAUCUGGACGGAUACUGACGCUGAGACGCGAAAGCGUGGGGAGCAAACAGG
rnacentral:rRNA from 1 species